rnacentral:rRNA from 1 species
GACGAACGCUGGCGGCGUGCCUAAUACAUGCAAGUAGAACGCUGAAGAGAGGAGCUUGCUCUUCUUGGAUGAGUUGCGAACGGGUGAGUAACGCGUAGGUAACCUGCCUGGUAGCGGGGGAUAACUAUUGGAAACGAUAGCUAAUACCGCAUAAAAUUGAUUAUUGCAUGAUAAUUAAUUGAAAGAUGCAACUGCAUCACUACCAGAUGGACCUGCGCUGUAUUAGCUAGUUGGUGAGGUAACGGCUCACCAAGGCGACGAUACAUAGCCGACCUGAGAGGGUGAUCGGCCACACUGGGACUGAGACACGGCCCAGACUCCUACGGGAGGCAGCAGUAGGGAAUCUUCGGCAAUGGGGGGAACCCUGACCGAGCAACGCCGCGUGAGUGAAGAAGGUUUUCGGAUCGUAAAGCUCUGUUGUAAGAGAAGAACGGGUGUGAGAGUGGAAAGUUCACACUGUGACGGUAGCUUACCAGAAAGGGACGGCUAACUACGUG